rnacentral:rRNA from 1 species
GCUGACGACCGGCGCACGGGUGCGUAACACGUAUGCAACUUACCCUAAAGAGAGGGAUAGCCUGUGGAAACGCAGAUUAAUACCUCAUGGUAUGCACGGAUCGCAUGUUUUGUGCAUUAAAGAAUUUCGCUUUAGGAUGGGCAUGCGUCCCAUUAGCUAGUUGGGGAGGUAACGGCUCACCAAGGCUCCGAUGGGUAGCUGGUCUGAGAGGAUGAUCAGCCACACGGGCACUGAGACACGGGCCCGACUCCUACGGGAGGCAGCAGUAAGGAAUAUUGGGCAAUGGAGGCAACUCUGACCCAGCCAUGCCGCGUGCAGGAAGAAGGUCCUCUGGAUUGUAAACUGCUUUUAUCAGGGGCUAAAGUGUGGCUAUAUGCCAUUUUGAAGGUACCUGAAGAAUAAGCACCGGCUAACUACGUGCCAGCAGCCGCGGUAAUACGUAGGGUGCAAGCGUUGUCCGGAUUUAUUGGGUUUAAAGGGUGCGCAGGCGGCUCUGUAAGUAUGUGGUGAAAUCGUACGGCUCAACCGUAUACCCGCCAUGUAAACUGUAGAGCUUGAGUGUGAAAGAGGAGAUUAGAAUGCGUGGUGUAGCGGUGAAAUGCAUAGAUAUCACGCAGAAUACCGAUUGCGAAGGCAGAUCUCUAUUUCACAACUGACGCUGAGGCACGAAAGCGUGGGUAGCGAACAGGAUUAGAUACCCUGGUAGUCCACGCUGUAAACGAUGAUCACUAGAUGUUCGACUUUCGGGUUGAGUGUCCAAGCGAAAGUGAUAAGUGAUCCACCUGGGGAGUACGUUGGCAACAAUGAAACUCAAAGGAAUUGACGGGGGCCCGCACAAGCGGUGGAGCAUGUGGUUUAAUUCGAUGAUACGCGAGGAACCUUACCUGGGCUACAAUGCCUCUGACAUGCGC